AUUGAACGCUGGCGGCAUGCCUUACACAUGCAAGUCGAACGGUAACAGGUCUUCGGAUGCUGACGAGUGGCGAACGGGUGAGUAAUACAUCGGAACGUGCCUAGUAGUGGGGGAUAACUACUCGAAAGAGUGGCUAAUACCGCAUGAGAUCUACGGAUGAAAGCAGGGGAUCGCAAGACCUGGUGCUACUAGAGCGGCCGAUGGCAGAUUAGGUAGUUGGUGGGAUAAAAGCUUACCAAGCCGACGAUCUGUAGCUGGUCUGAGAGGACGAUCAGCCACGCUGGGACUGAGACACGGCCCAGACUCCUACGGGAGGCAGCAGUGGGGAAUUUUGGACAAUGGGCGAAAGCCUGAUCCAGCAAUGCCGCGUGCAGGAUGAAGGCCUUCGGGUUGUAAACUGCUUUUGUACGGAACGAAAAGCCCCGGGUUAAUACCCUGGGGUCAUGACGGUACCGUAAGAAUAAGCACCGGCUAACUACGUGCCAGCAGCCGCAGUAA
rnacentral:rRNA from 1 species